rnacentral:misc_RNA from 1 species
GAUGAAGAACGUAGUGAAAUGCGAUAACUAAUGUGAAUUGCAGAAUUCAGUGAAUCAUCGAGUCUUUGAACGCACAUUGCGCCCCCUGGUAUUCCGGGGGGCAUGCCUGUCCGAGCGUCAUUGCUGCCCUCAAGCACGGCUUGUGUGUUGGGCUCCGUCCCCCCGGGGACGGGCCCGAAAGGCAGCGGCGGCACCGAGUCCGGUCCUCGAGCGUAUGGGGCUUUGUCACCCGCUCUGUAGGCCCGGCCGGCGCCAGCCGACAACCCAUCAUCCUUUUCAGGUUGACCUCGGAUCAGGUAGGGAUACCCGCUGAACUUAAGCAUAUCAAUAAGCGAAGGA